rnacentral:misc_RNA from 1 species
GAUGAAGAACGCAGCGAAAUGCGAUAAGUAGUGUGAAUUGCAGAAUUCAGUGAAUCAUCGAAUCUUUGAACGCGCAUUGCGCCACUUGGUAUUCCAUGGGGCAUGCCUGUUCGAGCGUCAUUUGUACCUUCAAGCUCUGCUUGGUGUUGGGUGUUUGUCUCGCCUCUGCGUGUAGACUCGCCUCAAAACAAUUGGCAGCCGGCGUAUUGAUUUCGGAGCGCAGUACAUCUCGCGCUUUGCACUCAUAACGACGACGUCCAAAAGUACAUUUUUACACUCUUGACCUCGGAUCAGGUAGGGAUACCCGCUGAACUUAAGCAUAUCAAUAAGCGGAGGA